CCCUUAGAGUUUGAUCCUGGCUCAGGAUGAACGCUGGCGGCGUGCCUAACACAUGCAAGUCGAGCGAUUCUCUUCGGAGAAGAGCGGCGGACGGGUGAGUAACGCGUGGGUAACCUGCCCUGUACACACGGAUAACAUACCGAAAGGUAUGCUAAUACGAGAUAAUAUGCUUUUAUCGCAUGGUAGAAGUAUCAAAACUUUUGCGGUACAGGAUGGACCCGCGUCUGAUUAGCUAGUUGGUAAGGUAACGGCUUACCAAGGCGACGAUCAGUAGCCGACCUGAGAGGGUGAUCGGCCACAUUGGAACUGAGACACGGUCCAAACUCCUACGGGAGGCAGCAGUGGGGAAUAUUGCACAAUGGGCGAAAGCCUGAUGCAGCAACGCCGCGUGAGCGAUGAAGGCCUUCGGGUCGUAAAGCUCUGUCCUCAAGGAAGAUAAUGACGGUACUUGAGGAGGAAGCCCCGGCUAACUACGUGCCAGCAGCCGCGGUAAUACGUAGGGGGCUAGCGUUAUCCGGAAUUACUGGGCGUAAAGGGUGCGUAGGUGGUUUCUUAAGUCAGAGGUGAAAGGCUACGGCUCAACCGUAGUAAGCCUUUGAAACUGGGAAACUUGAGUGCAGGAGAGGAGAGUGGAAUUCCUAGUGUAGCGGUGAAAUGCGUAGAUAUUAGGAGGAACACCAGUUGCGAAGGCGGCUCUCUGGACUGUAACUGACACUGAGGCACGAAAGCGUGGGGAGCAAACAGGAUUAGAUACCCUGGUAGUCCACGCCGUAAACGAUGAGUACUAGCUGUCGGAGGUUACCCCCUUCGGUGGCGCAGCUAACGCAUUAAGUACUCCGCCUGGGAAGUACGCUCGCAAGAGUGAA
rnacentral:rRNA from 1 species